rnacentral:rRNA from 1 species
UAGGGAAUAUUGCUCAAUGGGGGAAACCCUGAAGCAGCAACGCCGCGUGAGUGAUGAAGGCCUUCGGGUCGUAAAGCUCUGUUGUACGGGAAGAACGAGAGUGUAGCUAACAUCUACAUUCAGUGACUGUACUGUAUAAGAAAGGACCGGCUAACUUCGUGCCAGCAGCCGCGGUAAGACGGGGGGUCCUAGCGUUGUUCGGAAUCAUUGGGCGUAAAGCGUGUGCAGGUGGUUUUGAAAGUUAGAUGUGAAAGCCUUGGGCUUAACCCGAGAAGUGCAUUUAAAACUACAAAACUUGAGUAAGGAAGAGGGUCGUGGAAUUCCAGGUGUAGUGGUGAAAUACGUAGAUAUCUGGAGGAACACCGGUGGCGAAGGCGGCGACCUGGUCCUAUACUGACACUCAUACACGAAAGCGUGGGGAUCAAACAGGAUUAGAUACCCCCGUAGUCC